UACGGGGGGGGCAAGCGUUGUUCGGAAUUACUGGGCGUAAGGGCUCGUAGGUGGCCAACUAAGUCAGACGUGAAAUCCCUCAGCUUAACUGGGGAACUGCGUCUGAUACUGGAUGGCUUGAGUUUGGGAGAGGGAUGCGGAAUUCCAGGUGUAGCGGUGAAAUGCGUAGAUAUCUGGAGGAACACCGGUGGCGAAGGCGGCAUCCUGGACCAACACUGACACUGAUGAGCGAAAGCCAGGGGAGCAAACGGG
rnacentral:rRNA from 1 species